AUUAGAUUAAAAACCAAUGCCCUUCGGGGCUCUCUGGUGAUUCAUAAUAACUUCUCGAAUCGCACGGCCUUGCGCCGGCGAUGGUUCAUUCAAAUUUCUGCCCUAUCAACUUUCGACGGCUGGGUCUUGGCCAGCCGUGGUGACAACGGGUAACGGAGGGUUAGGGCUCGACCCCGGAGAAGGAGCCUGAGAAACGGCUACUACAUCCAAGGAAGGCAGCAGGCGCGCAAAUUACCCAAUCCCGACACGGGGAGGUAGUGACAAUAAAUACUGAUACAGGGCUCUUUCGGGUCUUGUAAUUGGAAUGAGUACAAUUUAAAUCCCUUAACGAGGAACAAUUGGAGGGCAAGUCUGGUGCCAGCAGCCGCGGUAACUCCAGCUCCAAUAGCGUAUAUUAAAGUUGUUGAGGUUAAAAAGCUCGUAGUUGAACCUUGGGCCUAGCCGGCCGGUCCGCCUCACCGCGUGCACUGGCUCGGCUGGGUCUUUCCUUCUGGAGAGCCGCAUGCCCUUCACUGGG
rnacentral:rRNA from 1 species